CUACGUGCCAGCAGCCGCGGUAAUACGUAGGGUGCGAGCGUUAAUCGGAAUUACUGGGCGUAAAGCGAGCGCAGACGGUUACUUAAGCAGGAUGUGAAAUCCCCGGGCUCAACCUGGGAACUGCGUUCUGAACUGGGUAGCUAGAGUAUGUCAGAGGGGGGUAGAAUUCCACGUGUAGCAGUGAAAUGCGUAGAGAUGUGGAGGAAUACCGAUGGCGAAGGCAGCCCCCUGGGAUAAUACUGACGUUCAUGCUCGAAAGCGUGGGUAGCAAACAGGAUUAGAUACCCUGGUAGUCCACGCCCUAAACGAUGUCAAUUAGCUGUUGGGCAACUUGAUUGCUUAGUAGCGUAGCUAACGCGUGAAAUUGACCGCCUGGGGAGUACGGUCGCAAGAUUAAAACUCAAAGGAAUUGACGGGGACCCGCACAAGCGGUGGAUGAUGUGGAUUAAUUCGAUGCAACGCGAAGAACCUUACC
rnacentral:rRNA from 1 species